rnacentral:rRNA from 2 species
AGUCUGACGGAGCAACGCCGCGUGAGUGAUGAAGGUUUUCGGAUCGUAAAACUCUGUUGUUAGGGAAGAACAAGUACCGGAGUAACUGCCGGCACCUUGACGGUACCUAACCAGAAAGCCACGGCUAACUACGUGCCAGCAGCCGCGGUAAUACGUAGGUGGCAAGCGUUGUCCGGAAUUAUUGGGCGUAAAGCGCGCGCAGGCGGUUCCUUAAGUCUGAUGUGAAAGCCCACGGCUCAACCGUGGAGGGUCAUUGGAAACUGGGGAACUUGAGUGCAGAAGAGGAGAGUGGAAUUCCACGUGUAGCGGUGAAAUGCGUAGAGAUGUGGAGGAACACCAGUGGCGAAGGCGACUCUCUGGUCUGUAACUGACGCUGAGGCGCGAAAGCGUGGGGAGCAAACAGGAUUAGAUACCCUGGUAGUCCACGCCGUAAACGAUGAGUGCUAAGUGUUAGAGGGUUUCCGCCCUUUAGUGCUGCAGCAAACGCAUUAAGCACUCCGCCUGG